rnacentral:misc_RNA from 1 species
AGAAAGAAAGAAAGAAUCAGUUCAACAAGAUGAGAGAAGAAAGGAGAGGAGAGAAGAGAAGGAGAGGAGAGGAGAGAAAUACAUGUUUGUGGUCUGUUUGAGUGCUGCUGGCAUGAACUGAAUGAAGGAGAGAUUAGUGUUCCUUAAAAGUCACCUGGGCAAGGCGGGACAGCCUCGCCUAGCCCAGUGUCCUUCAUCGCCUUUAAUAACACUGGUUCAAUUAUUAGAAUGUUUGAGUCAAAUGUCUAACAAGCCUAAUCAAGAAUUUAUAUAAUUUUAGAAUAUAUUUGAUAUUAUAUAUGAUAUUUAAAUAAUAAUUUAUCAAUUUGAGCUUGGAUUCUUGCUUACUUGAGUUUAUAGGAGAUUGAUAAAGAAGUUCACUCAAACUUGUAAUGAUGAUAAGCUAAGUUGAGCAUCAAGUAUUUUGAGUUUUUCAUAGAGUUGAAUUUGAGCAUGGAAAAUAACUAGAGUUUGAGUCAAGUAGUGAGUUUUGGGUUUUCUAAUUGAGUUGAAUUUGAGCAGUAUAUUGCAUCAACUCGGCUUGACUCAAUGGAACUCCCAAGUAUUCAUAGUUCACCUGCUUAAAUAUCUUUAUGCUUAUUGUGGCACAUAACUUUAUGGAUUUACUUGGUUUAGGUCUUUUGACCAGCUGCAGAGAUACUAUGCAUGCGAAGUAUACCAGUAAUGGUUGAUCAUUUGUGAGCUAGAUUUAGCAAAGAAUAAGGUUUCGUUUAAAAUAAAUCAUUUACAAGAAAAUAA